CAGUAGCCGCGGUAAUACGUAGGUGGCAAGCGUUGUCCGGAAUUAUUGGGCGUAAAGGGCUCGCAGGCGGUUUCUUAAGUCUGAUGUGAAAGCCCCCGGCUCAACCGGGGAGGGUCAUUGGAAACUGGGAAACUUGAGUGCAGAAGAGGAGAGUAGAAUUCCACGUGUAGCGGUGAAAUGCGUAGAGAUGUGGAGGAACACCAGUGGCGAAGGCGACUCUCUGGUCUGUAACUGACGCUGAGGAGCGAAAGCGUGGGGAGCGAACAGGAUUAGAUACCCCAGUAGUCCCUGUCUCUUAUAC
rnacentral:rRNA from 1 species